rnacentral:rRNA from 1 species
UACAGAGGGUGCGAGCGUUAAUCGGAAUUACUGGGCGUAAAGCGUGCGUAGACGGUUAUUUAAGUCGGGGUGUGAAAGCCCCGGGCUCAACCUGGGAAUUGCAUUCGAUACUGGGCGAUCUCGAGUUCGGGAGAGGUGAGUGGAACUGCGAGUGUAGAGGUGAAAUUCGUAGAUAUUCGCAAGAACACCAGUGGCGAAGGCGGCUCACUGGCCCGAUACUAACGCUGAGGUGCGAAAGCGUGGGGAGCAAACAGG